rnacentral:rRNA from 1 species
CCUACGGGAGGCAGCAGUGGGGGAUAUUGCACAAUGGGGGGAACCCUGAUGCAGCGACGCCGCGUGGGUGAAGAAGCGCCUCGGCGCGUAAAGCCCUGUCAGCAGGGAAGAAAAUGACGGUACCUGAAGAAGAAGCCCCGGCUAACUACGUGCCAGCAGCCGCGGUAAUACGUAGGGGGCAAGCGUUAUCCGGAUUUACUGGGUGGAAAGGGGGCGCAGACGGCGAUGCAAGCCAGGAGUGAAAGCCCGGGGCCCAACCCCGGGACUGCUCUUGGAACUGCGUGGCUGGAGUGCAGGAGGGGCAGGCGGAAUGCCUGGGGUAGCGGUGAAAUGCGUAGAUAUCAGGAGGAACACCGGUGGCGAAGGCGGCCUGCUGGACUGCAACUGACGUUGAGGCCCGAAAGCGUGGGGAGCAAACAGGAUUAGAUACACUUGUAGUC